rnacentral:rRNA from 1 species
GACGAACGCUGGCGGCGUGCUUAACACAUGCAAGUCGAGCGGAAAGGCCCCUUCGGGGGUACUCGAGCGGCGAACGGGUGAGUAACACGUGAGCAACCUGCCUCAGCUUCGGGAUAACCCCGGGAAACCGGGGCUAAUACCGGAUAUUCACUUCCUGGUGCAUGCCUAGAAGUGGAAAGUUUUUCGGCUGAGGAUGGGCUCGCGGCCUAUCAGCUUGUUGGUGGGGUAAUGGCCCACCAAGGCGACGACGGGUAGCCGGCCUGAGAGGGCGACCGGCCACACUGGGACUGAGACACGGCCCAGACUCCUACGGGAGGCAGCAGUGGGGAAUAUUGCACAAUGGGCGAAAGCCUGAUGCAGCGACGCCGCGUGAGGGAAGACGGCCUUCGGGUUGUAAACCUCUUUCAGCUCCGACGAAGGGAAACUGACGGUAGGAGCAGAAGAAGCGCCGGCCAACUACGUGCCAGCAGCCGCGGUAAAAC